rnacentral:tRNA from 1 species
CGGCGAGUAGCGCAGCUUGGCAGCGCAACCGGUUUGGGACCGCGGGUCGGAGUAACCUCUCUCGCCGA